GAUGAACGCUGGCGGCGUGCCUAAUACAUGCAAGUCGAACGCUGAAGCUUGGUGCUUGCCCCGAGCGGAUGAGUUGCGAACGGGUGAGUAACGCGUAGGUAACCUGCCUCUUAGCGGGGGAUAACUAUUGGAAACGAUAGCUAAUACCGCAUAAAAGUCGAUAUCGCAUGAUAUUGAUUUGAAAGGUGCAAAUGCAUCACUAAGAGAUGGACCUGCGUUGUAUUAGCUAGUUGGUGAGGUAACGGCUCACCAAGGCGACGAUACAUAGCCGACCUGAGAGGGUGAUCGGCCACACUGGGACUGAGACACGGCCCAGACUCCUACGGGAGGCAGCAGUAGGGAAUCUUCGGCAAUGGGGGCAACCCUGACCGAGCAACGCCGCGUGAGUGAAGAAGGUUGUCGGAUCGUAAAGCUCUGUUGUAAGAGAAGAACGAGUGUGAGAGUGGAAAGUUCACACUGUGACGGUAACUUACCAGAAAGGGACGGCUAACUACGUG
rnacentral:rRNA from 1 species